GAUGAAGAACGUAGUGAAAUGCGAUAAGUAAUGUGAAUUGCAGAAUUCAGUGAAUCAUCGAAUCUUUGAACGCAUCUUGCGCUCCUUGGUAUUCCGAGGAGCAUGCCUGUUUGAGUGUCAUUUUAACUUCUCAACCAUAUCGAAUUGUUUUUCGAGGUGGCUUGGACAUGGGGGUUUUUGCAGGCUUUAAUAAUGAAGUCGGCUCCUCUGAAAUGCAUUAGUGGUAUCUGAAGCAGAACCGCUACUAUUAGGUGUGAUAAUUAUCUAUGCCUCUUGGUAUACUGCAUGAACAGAUUGCGCUGCUUCCAACUUGUACACCCUUUGGUGUUUGACAAAUUUGACCUCAAAUCAGGUAGGACUACCCGCUGAACUUAAGCAUAUCAAUAAGCGGAGGA
rnacentral:misc_RNA from 1 species